rnacentral:misc_RNA from 1 species
UGACUCAGCCUAGGGAUAUGUGUUUACGCCGUUUGUACAAGGAAACUACUGCCAGCGCCUGCUACUGCACGUAACUGCGUGUGUAAUAUGUGACGUCUAUGCUGCCGACCAAUGAAUCUUGUUUCUUAUUAUUGCGCGUAUGUGUGUAAACUCAACGUUGGCGUGCCGUUGCUGUGGUAAAGUGAACUAGCUGUGGUGUGUUUCUGACAGCUGACAGGCAACAUUUUCCCCGUUUUUAAAGCACCAGAGGGCAACAGAUACACCAGGAACAUGUCUCUCACGUGGAACACCUGAAAGGCACCUCACUUAGUGUUCCUAUUGAAGUGACCAUUGGCUUCAGCGUCAUGGUGGUCUUGAUGCUGACCUGUUUCUUCAUAGCCUGCAUCUGCCAUCGACGACACCCCGAGAUGUUUCGAGGCAGACCUCAACCACUGCUGGUACCAGUUCAUCCUCCGGUGAUGUCGGGGGCAACUACACAGCCUACAGUGGGAGUGUUUACACCAUUUCUAGGAGCGUCUACAACUGCUGCACCUCCAGCUUACACUGUAGUCUCAGAUGCAACUCCAGCUGCGUUCGUGUCGUAUCCCCAGCACACAUACUACCCUUCGGCAACAGUACUACCACCACAAGGCGGUGCCUAUGGUAGUAUCACCGUUGAACCUCCUGUGCAGGCACCUGCUAUGCUGCUGCCAUCGCAGCCUGCACCACGUUCUCGGUACGCACAUUCCAAGGACAUCUCCACAGUGCCAUUGUGCCAAGAUUGGUAAAGGCAGUCGGUGCCCGAACAGACAGCAAGCGCUUUUGAGGCUUUUGCUCCUUUGUCCUGCAUUACCUUUCCGCAGAAGUAGGUGAUGCCAUUAUUCUCACCAAUGGGGCAAAAGCUUGCUUUAUGCAAUGUUGGGAAUGUUAUGACAUUGCGACUUCCAGAAACCAGUGUUGAAGUUUGAGCAGGCCAUACGGUUAUUACCAUAUUAUAUUAUUACUCAAUAUGAGGAACACGGAUAUAAGAUAUUGUCAGAUAUAAUGGGGGAAUUCUUGUGUCAGAUGUGACAAACUGAUCAUGACGAUGUUGGUUUGUAUUUUUUUGUAGACCGCUUGCCAUAUGCCAGUGCUGGUAUUACGGCACAAUGGAAUCUCUUGCUCAUGUGCCCAGACCAGUAUACAAGGCACUGGCCAAAUUCGUCUAUGUCCUUGUCCUAAUUUGACACCAAGCGUCAAUAGUGUCAAUGGUCACACAUACAUACCUGAAAAUUUAUUUUAAUAUCCACUUUUUUUCUGGGCGUUGUUCAUGACAAAUCGCAUAAUUUUCAUUUCUGGGGGUGUUCAGUGCCAUAAUGAUAUUGUGAGCACCUUUACUAACCUUCAUGUCGUCACCACUGCAUUGCAUCAUCCUACUUUGCAAGUGGCGGAGGUGCAAAGUUGAAACUUUGCCAGCAACUGAUGGCAUCGUACCUGUAUGUUGUACUGCUCUGCCAAUCUUGGAGUGACAAGGUGAAAUAAUACAAUUGCACAUUACUCACGGUUUCCUUUGCUAUCAUGAAUGAUUUCGUCAAGUUGUUGACUAUGAAAAUGACUUUGCUCCUUGAAGAGCGUGGCCUUUUUUAUUUGUUGCUGCCCAAAACUCUAUCUUUCACGUCUUGUGUGUACUUUUUUUGUGUACUUUUUUAUCAUUUGUCCACAUUUUAAUUCAUUGAAGAGCAGCCAUUGUUUAAAGCAAUACAUCUAUUUUGCUUCUUUAUUUUUUGCAUGUCACGGCUUCAAAAAAUUGAGAGAAGCCUCAUAAUCUUAUUUUUACUUAAUGAGCCUUAUGACAUCUGUUAAGUCAAUUGUCAUUUGCUUUGGGUCUGUGAAAGAAUAAGUGGUACCAACACCUGUGACACUUUUAUGAGAUCUAUUUGUUACAAUGAACCUUCUAAAUUUUUGCUGUGAGUUCCAGGUGCAUUUAAAAAGAUCAUGUCUGUGAUAUCCAGAAAUGUCUAAAGAGCAAUUUCUCUCCCUGACAUUUUAUUUUGCGUCACUUCCUUCUACUAACAACAUUAGUAAGCUUUUACUAAUCUUUACUAACUAAUUUCACGCACACGUCCUGUAGCAGCUUAGCUGCUAAUGUGUUGUGCUCCUCAACUUGAGGACAUGGGCUUCAUUCCCAGCUAUGGUGACCAUAUUUCAGUGGGGGUGAAGUAUGACAGCAAUUGUGCACUUAUACUUAGGUGCACAUUAAAGAAACCCAGAUGGUCAAAAUUAAUUCAGAGUCCCUCAUUGCAGCAUGCCUCAUAAUCAUAUUGCGGUCUUGGCUCAUAAAACCCCAGAGUUUAAUUGCUGUAGUUUUGUUUUCCCGGUGAAUGUGUCUGUAUAUGUCAAUGAACCCUUCUUGCAUCUACCCAUAUGCACUUUGCAUUCUGAAUGUGGUACUGAGCACCACAUGACAGAUGGACACGAGGGGCAGGCAGUACGAUAGAAUACAAGACUGAUAGUGUAACUGUCUAACCUUUUUCAGGCUGCGGAGUGUUGAACUUGAAUACUCGACGUUUUUGUGCCCUCUUGUAGGUUCAAGGUUUUUGGAUAAGCUGUAAAUUAUUGCUCUUACCUGUGCCUUUUCUACUCUGUGAUAUGCAAUGCAUCUAUUUUGUAACAAAAUGCAAGACCAAUUAGCCCAGCAGUUAGUCCGGUUGCAGGUGGCACAAUUGAAUGUUCAACAUUUUUUGCUCUCUUAUAUUAUUAUACUUCUAGGAUGAGCAUGUAUUAUUUGUAUUUCAGUGCACUUACUAGCGCCUUUUUCUACCCUGUGAUACGCAAUGCACUUGCCUUAUGUCUUUUGUGUAACCAGAUCUGACCAAUCUUACAAAAUGUGUCUGUGUUUGUUAGACUGUGCAUGCUGACCUGUACAUCAGCAUCUGAGUUGUUCCCGAGUGGUAAAUAAAAAUCUUGUACCAUUACCAUUCA